rnacentral:rRNA from 1 species
CUACGGGCGGCAGCAGUCGAGGAACUUUUGCAAUGCGCGAAAGCGUGACAAAGCAAGCCAGAGUGUUUUUCUUAUUAGAAAAACUUUUGUCUGCUGUAAAAAGGCAGAUGAAUAAGGACUGGGCAAGACCGGUGCCAGCCGCCGCGGUAAUACCGGCGGUCCAAGUCGCAGCCUCUUUUAUUGGGUCUAAAACAUCCGUAGCUUGUUUUGCGAGUCUCUUGUGAAAUCUUAUAUCUCAAGUAUAAGGUGUGCAAGAGAUACUGCACUACUAGAGACCGGAAGACGUAGCGAGUACAGCCAAGGUAGUGGUAAAAUACGUUAAUCUUGGCUGGACUAACAAUGGCGAAGGCACGCUACGAGGACGGAUCUGACAGUGAGGGAUGAAGGCUAGGGUCGCAAAAUGGAUUAGAUACCCUGGUAGUC